rnacentral:rRNA from 1 species
UGUGCUUACGGGGGGCAGCAGUGAGGAAUAUUGGUCAAUGGACGGAAGUCUGAACCAGCCAUGCCGCGUGCAGGAAGACGGCUCUAUGAGUUGUAAACUGCUUUUGUACAAGGGUAAACCUGAAUACGUGUAUUCAGCUGAAAGUACUGUACGAAUAAGGAUCGGCUAACUCCGUGCCAGCAGCCGCGGUAAUACGGAGGAUCCAAGCGUUAUCCGGAUUUAUUGGGUUUAAAGGGUGCGUAGGCGGAUUGAUAAGUUAGAGUUGAAAUGUCCGAGCUCAACUCGUGAACUGCUUCUAA